AUUGAACGCUGGCGGCAGGCCUAACACAUGCAAGUCGAGCGGAUGAAGGGAGCUUGCUCCUGGAUUCAGCGGCGGACGGGUGAGUAAUGCCUAGGAAUCUGCCUUGUCGUGGGGGAUAACGUCCGGACACGGGCGCUAAUACCGCAUACGUCCUGAUGGAGAACGUGGGGGAUCUUCGGACCUCACGCUAUCAGCUGAGCCUAGGUCGGAUUAGCUAGUUGGUGGGGUAAAGGCCUACCAAGGCGACGAUCCGUAACUGGUCUGAGAGGAUGAUCAGUCACACUGGAACUGAGACACGGUCCAGACUCCUACGGGAGGCAGCAGUAGGGAAUAUUGGACAAUGGGCGAAAGCCUGAUCCAGCCAUGCCGCGUGUGUGAAGAAGGUCUUCGGAUUGUAAAGCACUUUAAGUUGGGAGGAAGGGAAGUAAGUUAAUACCUGGCUGUUUUGACGGUACCAACAGAAUAAGCACCGGCUAACUUCGUG
rnacentral:rRNA from 1 species